GUGCUUAUGUUUUAUUCCGAGCCCCUUUUGUGCUGAGCGGAUGCACAAGCUGGGCUCUGUGCAGGGGUAGGUGUUGGGCUGCCAGCGUGGCUGGGGCACUUGUGUCUGCCCACAGGUUGGUGGUUCUCUCCAGCAUCCUACAGGGAAGCAGGAGAGACUCAAACCUCUUCCUUCACAUACGGUGGUUUCAAGUGAUGUAGUGAUGAGCUACUAGACCUCGUGGGUUGCUGCAAGCGUUGCCACCAGCUCAGCUGAGAGCCAUGAGAUCUCAGGUGCAUCUUUAAAGCAAGGUGAAUAGAUGGGUGGGAAGCAGCUGUGCUCUGUAGGAUGACUUGGUAGAUCCGGUUUUGGGGCCAAGGAACAGCUGAGCCAAUGUGGGGAUGGUGUUGGAUCACAACCACUGCAUGCACGAGCUGGUCAUAGAAGAAACAAAGAAGAAGGAACUCUGAAAGUUUCCCCUUGCAUUUUUGCUGGUGUUUUUCUUGUCUGGUCAGGUGGUGCUCCAGCUGUCACUUUCCUCUGGUGCCACACAGUGAAAUGAGGGGACAGGAGAGCACGGACAGGCGAUCUUCAGGAGCUGAUAGCCAUCUGCAGUUGUCACACAUCUCAGCAGCACCUUGUCAGCAGUGAGGAGACUCCUCAAGAAGAGUCUUGCCCCUCCUCAAUCACCUCCAGAUGUGCCAGUCUUGUGCCAAGGAUGGCAAAAGAAGCAUGGGAAUAGCUGAAGCUGACACUCGCUUUCUCUUCAGCCAGAGCCAGAUGGAUUCCUGUCCUCACUUGAUAUCUCUACUGCAAUCCAUGAACUCCAACCUAAAGAAAAAAUACCCAAAGUAUAAGAAAUUCCUGCAGUAUGGCAGAACAGCCCCUCAACCAGGCAGGAAUGUCACACACCACCUGCAGCUCACCUGAAUGGUCAGCACAGUUGAAGGAAAACUUCUGCUGACUUUGCUCCCAGCAGCGUUCCAGCCCAUGUUGCCAGGUGGGAGAUGCCAAUGGGCAACAGCUUGUGUGAAACCUAGGUGCAUUUCUGAACCCGUCCCAGGCACGGCACACACACCAAGACACCCUGUAUUGCUAGCAGCAGUAGUAGGUUUGCGCAGAAAAAACAUAUUUGCAUUCCAUUCUGUUUGGAGUCUAAAUGGGACAUAACUUCAAAUUAACAACUAUCAAGCUGUAAUUCAACUCACAUGUGAGCAUUUCCCAUUAAGGGAGUGCAGCAAUUCCACCCAGGCUAGCCAGCCAGCCAAACGGAGUGAGCCUUGGUCCCAGAGCAUCAGAAGCAGCAAUGUUUCUCGCAGCAGUGAGUCUUGGGGCAGGGUGAUACACCACUGGUGGGUACCAAAAAGCAGAGCCCCUCUCCAGCCGUCAGCCCCUCCCCCUCCUGCCAAAUCCAGGCUGGAAUUGAGAGCGGAAAUGUUUGUGUGUAGCUCAUGAAGCUGGUUGGAAAAUUUUUGUCAAAACAGAUUUCCAUCAGAAAAUGACACCCUGUUGGCUUUGGCAAAUUUUUGUUCAGGAACAAAGUGGAGAGUGAAAAAAAAAUGUAAAUGUCAGCGUGCCCUUUUGACAUUUUCCCCAACGAAAAGGAUGGACUUGCUUGCUUCGAAAUGACUUUUCCUUGACAUUCAUUUUCUACAUUC
ensembl:lncRNA